CCUUAACGAGAAUCUGAUACGGUUCCAGUCAGACCGGAGGGGAGAGACGCUAAUACUGCUUCGCAACC
rnacentral:pre_miRNA from 1 species